CUAUUGUGUUAAAAGCACUAUCUACCCCCCGUGGGCCCCUUUGCCUCCCUAAAGAUAGUAAAAUGUUAUUUGUAUUUAAGUCUGAAGCUGCUGCCUGUGAACUUCCUCUGACCUCUGACAUCAUCAGAAGUGGUGGCCUGAGCCAAUCACAAUGCUUCCCCAUAGGAUUGGCUGAGACUGACAAGGAGGCAGAUCAGGGGCAGAGCCAGCACAAUUUAAACACAGCCCUAGCCAAUCAGCAUCUCCUCAUAGAGGUGAAUUGAAUCGAUGAAUCUCUAUAAGGAAAGUUCAGUGUCUGCAUGCAGAGGGAGGAGAUACUGAAUGUUUGGAUGCAUUUUAGGCAGCCAUGACCCAGGAAGGAUCUCUAACAACCAUCUGAGGAGUGGCCAGUGAAGAUUGUAACGGAUCGACGGGCACCCCGACUGGGUACCUCCGUUGAAGGAUGCUCCUAGCUCUUCCUGAGGGUUUCCAGCACUCCAGCAGACACCAUAACCACAAUAGACUUCUUCAGAGAGCAAAACAGGAACAAGCUCUUACAAGAGCUUGGCAGUGAAUAUAGCAAGAGAGUAUGCAGAGCAUAGCAAUCCCUUGUAGCAGAUUCCCCCAAUAAGAGGGUGAAGUAGAACUGAAGUUUUUAAUCCAACACCAUUUUACAAACAUAGUACUUGAGCAGAUUCCCCCAAAUUGAGGGUGAAAUAGAACUGAAGUUUUUAAUCCAACACCAUUUUACAAACAUAGUACUGCCCACAGGGUUUUGAAGAACAACCAAUCAAUACAUUACAACACAACUAAACACUCCCAUUCAUACCAGCAGAAAUCCUCCCCUCUACCUGUGAUACAAUUAUCUCAACACAAUAGACUAACAAUUAUCACAGGCAGGAAAAUACAGUUUUGCACAAUAUUCAUAACUCCAAAAGUAUACAUCACAUUCACAUAAAACUUACAUUUUCAGAAUCAGCAUACUCCAAAUACAAACAUACUCAAAAAUCUAUUCCUUCCAUUGGUUUAAAAGUUAGGUCGAAGCCCUAGGUGACCACUGAAGCAUGGUUUUCCUGCCAAAACAAGUUCCACAGAGUCCUCUAUCCUGGAGAUAAUUGGCUUAACUGGGUGUGCUAAGCCAACUAUCUCCAGGUACAGAAAAUGUCUCUAUUCACAACAACAGCAAAAAUACACAAAAAUUCAUAAUUCCUAUCAUAAUGAACAGAACCCCCACAUUCAACCUAUCCCCAGACGGCUUGGAUCUGAGCGUUCAAUAUAUCCAAACAGCGCUCAGAUCUCACAAACACAGUCAAAUCGCCAUGGGGUUUAAGUCUAGCAUGGGCUGAUGAGAGGGUCCAGACUCCAGAGUCACAGGGCAGGAGGGUGGCAAUCAGUCUUCUCCAAUGCCCAGUGGCGAGGCUGGUUCCGCCACAAAGUUAUCACUAGGCUGUAAUGUAAACACUGCAUUUUCUCUGAAAAGACAGUGUUUACAGCAAAAAGCCUGAAGGUAAUGAUUCUACUCACCAGAACAAAUUCAUAAGCUGUAGUUGUUCUAGAAACAUAGAAACAUAGUUCUGGUGACUAUAGUCACGUUAGGCCAGAUUCACACCACAUUUGCAGUAGUGUGUACAUGAGUGCAUGUCUGUGUGUAUGUUGUAAAGGAGCUCCUGUACUCGGAUCGAGAACCUCCACCAGGUUCGCUUCCUGUACUCUGAUCGAGAACCUCCACCAGGUUCGCUUCCUGUACUCUGAUCGAGAACCUCCACCAGGUUCGCUUCCUAUCUGCCACAGGGGACUCUGGAGCGCUUCCGACCCAGUUGCCGAAGCUUGACUUGGGUCUCUCUGGAACACUUCCACCCGACCAGGCUGCAACACCCUUUUUCCAAGCAGGUAUCAUCACCUUUGCCUCGUUAGGUCCUUUCCCAGGCAAGUAUCCACAUCUUUGCCUGUACUGUGAUAAGCUCUUUUCUUUGCAAACGUGUGGCACUCAGGCCUAGCUCUCUUUUGACUUGUCCCCAGGCUAAAGGGAUCAUGCAGCCAGCAAACAGGUUCAAAGACUCUGUUACCAGGAUCCCUAAAAAUCCAUGAUAGAUGAGGUGGAUACAACACAAGUGAAUAUCUAGGUAGAAAGCUGCCACUCAAUGGCCCACUCCCAGAAAGACCUUGAUGCAAGUAGAGUGAAAGAUUGUCAAAAUUUGAGUAGAUACUCAAAAAUACAUUAGAGGGUGCUAAAUACCCAAUUAAAAUUGCAUAAUUACCAAUGAGGAAGCUAUGUAUUUCAGCCAAACUCGAGACCAAACACAUAAAGAGAAAAAAAGGGGUUAUAACAAAAUAAUGUUUAGCACAUAUUUUGUGAUAUGGCCAAACUGUAUUUUGUCUCUAAGAGUUUAGAGACUCAGCAGGUAAAAUUAAAAAGUGUGGGGAGGAUGAGAUGGACCACAUACAAGCAGCAUUCCAAUCUCAAUUUUUGGUGCCCUGGCUUACUAUACAGCCUGAGAAUAUAUAUACUGGCCAAGACCCUGUCUGUCAACCUGAAUCUAGCAAAAAGGAGCAGGAUGGAGUCUGUACACUGCACUCAUUGCUAGAGAGAAGAGCAGCUGGAGGAUAUGAAUUAUUCAUAUUAGGGUGUAAGCUAGCAUGAGAAACUUGCUUGUGUGGGAAUUGUAUAAAUUAACGUGAGAGAGCGAGACCGUGAGUGUAAAUUACUGUUUUGUAAAGGUAGGUAUCAUGCUUGAGAAAAUUACUAAUUAGGGAUCAUUGGGAGUUGCUAAUUAAAUGUGUGUGAGAGUGUGGCUAGUUUGAUAUGAGUAUAAGGCUAAUAUGAAUGUGGCUCGUUAGAUAUGAAUAUACAGCUAAUGUGAGUGUGGCUAGUUAGAUACGAGUACAGUUUUGAAAAAGCUAUUGGAUAGGUGAAACGCGUUGUGUAUCUUACUA